rnacentral:misc_RNA from 1 species
CGCACAUUGCGCCCGCCAGUAUUCUGGCGGGCAUGCCUGUCCGAGCGUCAUUUCAACCCCUCAAGCCCCGUGCUUGGUGCUAGGGUCUCCUACGUGCGCCGUAGGCCCCGAAUUCCAGUGGCGGGCUCGCCGUGAUCUCGAGCGUAGUGGUAUUACCUCGCUCAGGGCGCGCGGCGGGCGCCGGCCGUAAAACGAAAAUCAGGGGGCAGGGCGGUGCGAGAGCGCCAGGACCCCCCCUACAGGUUGACCUCGGAUCAGGUAGGAAUACCCGCUGAACUUAA